ACAGGGAUUGCCUCAGUAACGGCGAGUGAAGCGGCAACAGCCCAGAUUUGAAAUCUGGCCCUUCUCGGGUCCGAGUUGUAAUCUGCAGAUGAGUCUUCGGGCAACGUGCCGUCCAAGUUCCCUGGAAUGGGACGCCACAGAGGGUGAGAGCCCCGUACCGACGUGCGCCGCGCCUGUUUGAAGCUCAUUCGACGAGUCGAGUAGUUUGGAAAUGCUGCUCUAAUCGUGGGGUAAAUCUCCCAUAAGGCUAAAUACCGGCCAGAGACCGAUAGCGCACAAGUAGCGUGAGCGAAAGAUGAAAAGAGCCUUGAAUAAGGGCGUCAAAAAGUAUGUGAAAUUGUUAUGGGGGAAGCGCUUGGUGCCAGACUUGGCGGCGGUUGGUUACCCGGCGUUCCUCGCCGGCGCACUCUUCCGUCUCCAGGCCAGCAUCGGUUCGGCUCGGGGCUCACCGCAGCAGGGAACGUGGCCCCUCGGGGUGUUAUAGCCUUGCUGCUACGUCCCGGACCGGACCGUGGUUCGCGCAUCUGCUCGGAUGCUGGCGUAAUGGCCCUCAGCGACCCGUCUUGAAACACGGACCAAGGAGUUGACCUAUCACGCGAGUGUUUGGGUGCAAAGCCCUCACGCGCAGUGAAAGCGAACGCAGGUGGGAGCCCUCUGGGCGCACCAUCGACCGAUCCUGAAGUUUACGGAUGGAUUUGAGUAGGAGCGUGUUGGGUCUGACCCGAAAGAAGGUGAACUAUGCAUGAAUAGGGUGAAGCCAGAGGAAACUCUGGUGGAGGCUCGCAGCGGUUCUGACGUGCAAAUCGAUCGUCAAAUUUGUGCAUGGGGGCGAAAGACCAAUCGA
rnacentral:rRNA from 1 species